UAGCCACAUGACAAUAGAAAUGAUCAGGGAGGGAGAGAAACUGAUGAUGCAGGAAAGGCAAGGUACAGUCUAUGCUGCUUGGAUCCCUGCUGUGACUAUGGCCUUGAAUUGUCUUCACUAUGAGAUACAGUGCUGAGUAGUAGGCAGGAACAUGCCUCAGGCAAGACAAUCAAGUACUUAACUUCUGUGAUCUUGGGCAAGUCCUUGAUGAACCUUUUAGUCCCCAAACACAAACUGAAAACUCUGAAACACAAAUUCUAGGUCUUUUAUUUUGUUGUUCUGUAUGAGGAUUGGGAAGGAUGUGCAUUUAGGAAGAAAAGAAACAAACAGGCUGUCGUAGAUGAGCCUGGGGUAGCAGCCUGCUCUGACCAAAUGGAAGGUGUCUUAGGCUUUCUUGUUACACUUCAGCUAGGCGAGUUUCAGCAUACUGGUAUUUCUGUGGGUGGACAGUCGCACUACUUAAGUUACAGUUUCCUGUUUGUUUGUUUUGCAGUAAGGUCUCUGGCUGGGCAGUGGUGGUGCAUGCCUUUAAUCCCAGCACUUGGUAGGCAGAGGCAAGAGGAUUUCAGAGUUCGAGGCAAGCCUGGUCUACAGAGUGAGUUCCAGGACAGACAGGCUACACAGAGAAACCCUGUCUUGAAACAACAACAACCAAAAGGGUCUCUGUGUAGCCCUGGCUGGUCUGGAGCUAUAUAUGAAGAUUAACCUGCCUUUGAACCCAUAGAGUUUGCCUGCUUCUGCUUGAGGAAUGCUGGAAUCAAAGGUGUGCAGUACCCCUCCCAGCUAAAGCACAGUUUCAGACCAGGUAUCUUUGUUCUGAGUUUGUUUUUUACCAUUUUCCCCACUGGCUAGGAAGUUAUAACAGUUUCUCUUGAGAAUGCUUGAUUAUUUACUGUUGGACUAAUUUUUUUCAGAAUAGCAUUUGCCAUAAUUUUUCAGCCUUUUGGCUAAGACCAAAUGUCAAAUAGCAAAAGUCAGAAUUUAUGGCAGCCUCUCUGUUUGAGAUGAGGCAGUGCCAAUUUAGAUACCAGUUCCUGUCUUCCCUUUCUCUGCCAGGCUGGAGGCACAAAGGGGCAGAGUGUUUGGGUAUGCCAAGGGUAUCAGAAAAGCACACCAGACAUUGACCCCAUUGUUCAGCAUGACUUGGAAGGACCUUUAGCAGUCUUUCUCAAUUAGGGGAGAGGACUGUCUGCUGCUGCAUUUGUAUUUCUUAAAUUAUUUAAUGUAUUGUGCUCGUUUAUGCCUAUGGCUAUUUUGACAUUUGAGAACUUACCAUUUCCUAUGGAUUUGUAAAGAUUUUAAUAUGUAGAUAGAAGUCUUGUCUUUGACAUACAUAAUACAAUCAUUAUCACCUGGUUUUCUUCCCCUAAUCUUCCUGAUUUUUUUCUUUUCUGUUUUCAGAAAUAUAUUUUGUUUUGUUCUUUUAGAGGUAGUAUCACAUGUGACCUAGACUGGCCUUGAACUUGCUAUGGAGCACAGAGGUUGGCCUUGUUCUCCGUAUUCUCCUGUGAUCCCCUCCCAAGUACUGGGACUCUAGGUGUGUGCAGGCCUGGCAUCUGUUUUUGGCUUUUUUGGGACAGCCUUGCUAUUUAUUAGCUCAGGUUAGUAGCUGCUGUUGUUUCUCCUUCUCCCUGCCCCCUUUCACCUCCUCCUCUUCCUCUUUUAAAUAGAGUUUCAUGUAUUCUAGGCUGGCCUUGAACUUAUUUGCCCCAAAGAUACCCCAUGGCUAAGGCAACUCUAUACAGAGAAACCCUGUCUCAAAAAACCCCC
rnacentral:lncRNA from 1 species